rnacentral:rRNA from 1 species
CCUACGGGUGGCAGCAGUGAGGAAUAUUGGUCAAUGGACGAGAGUCUGAACCAGCCAAGUCGCGUGAAGGAUGACUGUCCUAUGGGUUGUAACCUUCUUUUAUAUGGGAAUAAAAUGCUCCACGUGUGGGAUUUUGUAUGUACCAUACGAAUAAGGAUCGGCUAACUCCGUGCCAGCAGCCGCGGUAAUACGGAGGAUCUGAGCGUUAUCCGGAUUUAUUGGGUUUAAAGGGAGCGUAGGUGGAUUGUUAAGUCAGUUGUGAAAGUUUGCGGCUCAACCGUAGAAUUGCAGUUGAAACUGGUAUUCUAGAGUACAGUAGAGGUAGGCGGAAUUCGUGGUGUAGCGGUGAAAUGCUUAGAGAUCACGAAGAACUCCGAUUGCGAAGGCAGUUCACUGGACUGCAACUGACGCUGAGGCGCGAAAGUGUGGGGAUCAAACAGGAUUAGAUACCCUUGUAGUC